GAUGAACGCUAGCGGGAGGCUUAACACAUGCAAGUCGAGGGGCAUCACGAGGUAGCAAUACUUUGGUGGCGACCGGCGCACGGGUGAGUAACGCGUAUGCAACCUACCCUGUACAGGGGGAUAACCCGGAGAAAUUCGGACUAAUAUCCCGUAAUAAUAUCCGGAGGCAUCUUUGGAUAUUUAAAGUUCCGACGGUACGGGAUGGGCAUGCGUAACAUUAGCUGGUUGGUAAGGUAACGGCUUACCAAGGCUAUGAUGUUUAGGGGUCCUGAGAGGGUGGUCCCCCACACUGGUACUGAGACACGGACCAGACUCCUACGGGAGGCAGCAGUGAGGAAUAUUGGUCAAUGGGCGCAAGCCUGAACCAGCCAUCCCGCGUGCAGGAAGACGGCCCUAUGGGUUGUAAACUGCUUUUCCAGGGAGAGAAACUUACGCACGUGUUGCGUGACUGACGGUACCCUGGGAAUAAGCAUCGGCUAACUCCGUG
rnacentral:rRNA from 1 species